rnacentral:rRNA from 1 species
CAGUAGCCGCGGUAAUACGUAGGGUGCAAGCGUUAAUCGGAAUUACUGGGCGUAAAGCGUGCGCAGGCGGUUUGUUAAGACAGAUGUGAAAUCCCCGGGCUCAACCUGGGAAUGGCAGUGGAUACUGUUUGGCUUGAGUUCGGGAGAGGUGAGUGGAAUUCCCAGUGUAGAGGUGAAAUUCGUAGAUAUUGGGAAGAACACCAGUGGCGAAGGCGGCUCACUGGACCGACACUGACGCUGAGGCGCGAAAGCGUGGGGGGCAAACAGGAUUAGAUACCCCCGUAGUCCCUGUCUCUUAUAC